CCGGCCCCCGCCGGCAUCGCCCAACUCUUCAUUUGCAAAGCGGACUGUACGUUUCUGAUUAUAUCUUGAAAAACAAGUCAAAACUUUCAACAACGGAUCUCUUGGUUCUGGCAUCGAUGAAGAACGCAGCGAAAUGCGAUAAGUAAUGUGAAUUGCAGAAUUCAGUGAAUCAUCGAAUCUUUGAACGCACAUUGCGCCCGGCAGCAAUCUGCCGGGCAUGCCUGUCCGAGCGUCAUUUCUGCCCUCGAGCGCGGUUCGGCCCCUAGCGGGCCGCGCCGCCGCCCGGUGUUGGGGAUCUGCUGGCGACCCGCCCGCAGGCCCUGAAAAGAAGUGGCGGUCCCGCCGCGGCGCCCCCUGCGUAGUAGUAAAACCACCUCGCAUCGGGUCCCGGCGAAGGCCAGCCGUCAAACCUAUCUCUAAGAUGUUUGACCUCGGAUCAGGUAGGGAUACC
rnacentral:rRNA from 1 species